AAAAAAUGUUCCUGCCAUUCAGUGAGCAAAAAUCUCAAAUGCUAACUCAGUUAAUUAAAAAUCUUGCUUAAAUAAAACUGUAGUGUAGACUCGGUUGGAUAUGGUUUCUCCUGGAUCUGAGUUUUUCAGUGGAGAGCUGAAGCCACUUAGAGUCCAGGGUGAGAGCUGUACACACAUACCUCCUCAAGACCCUUCCUUACAAGGCGUGGAGCACGCUCAUGGUGGCAGUAUUUAUGAGGGUGUUUCCAACCUGGCGUUUUUAACGGAUCUGAAUUCCAGCUGUAUUCUUGCCAUUGUGGAGAGCCAAACACACUUCCUUUAUGCUCAUGGAGAUUUUAGGAACUGA
ensembl:lncRNA